rnacentral:rRNA from 1 species
AAGCGCAUACGGUGGAUGCCUUGGCAGUCAGAGGCGAUGAAAGACGUGGUAGCCUGCGAAAAGCUUCGGGGAGUCGGCAAACAGACUUUGAUCCGGAGAUGUCUGAAUGGGGGAACCCAGCCAUCAUAAGAUGGUUAUCUUGUACUGAAUACAU